UUUUGCAGGCCAUUGCUGGUCAGCUCCUCUUAAAUGCAUUAGCGGAACUCUAUGCAGUACCGGCUUCGGUUUGAUAAUCCUAUCUAUGCUGUUGCUGUGGACUGUGUGUUUGGCUUACAACUGUCUUUGGACUGUCGUCUUUGCACGGCAUAACCUUUAAGCUUGACCUCAAAUCAGGUAGGACUACCCGCUGAACUUAA
rnacentral:misc_RNA from 1 species